UGAAAAGCAAAGAUGAAGAGAAGUAGCGUGAGAGAUCGUUCUCAGUGAGCGGCAGAGAGUGCGAACGCCGUAAAAGAGCUUGCGUGAAUAACACUUCGGAGCUUCAAGCCGAACAGGAAACCCAGUAGGUGCGACGUGAACACAGCGUUAAUGUGCAUGGCUUAUUCGAGCCGUAAAGGGACUCAGAAAUGAGUAAUUUAGGUGGUACCGCGGAUACAAGGCUAUUCGUCCUAUAC
rnacentral:ncRNA from 1 species